AAGCCCGACGAUGAGGAUCUAGUAUCCUACAUCCUCGCCGGGCUUGACUUCGAUUACGACCCAAUGGUUUCAGCGGUUGCAGCCCGCGUGGAACCAAUCUCUGUCUCAGAGUUGAUCACUCAAUUGAUCAGCUUCGAGC
rfam:Oryza glaberrima chromosome 3 Oglab03_0164_1, whole genome shotgun sequence.